rnacentral:rRNA from 1 species
AUUGAACGCUGGCGGCAGGCCUAACACAUGCAAGUCGGACGGUAGCACAGAGGAGCUUGCUCCUUGGGUGACGAGUGGCGGACGGGUGAGUAAUGUCUGGGGAUCUGCCCGAUAGAGGGGGAUAACCACUGGAAACGGUGGCUAAUACCGCAUAACGUCGCAAGACCAAAGAGGGGGACCUUCGGGCCUCUCACUAUCGGAUGAACCCAGAUGGGAUUAGCUAGUAGGCGGGGUAAUGGCCCACCUAGGCGACGAUCCCUAGCUGGUCUGAGAGGAUGACCAGCCACACUGGAACUGAGACACGGUCCAGACUCCUACGGGAGGCAGCAGUGGGGAAUAUUGCACAAUGGGCGCAAGCCUGAUGCAGCCAUGCCGCGUGUAUGAAGAAGGCCUUCGGGUUGUAAAGUACUUUCAGCGGGGAGGAAGGCGGUGCGGUUAAUAACCGCGCCGAUUGACGUUACCCGCAGAAGAAGCACCGGCUAACUCCGUGCCAGCCGCCGCGGUAA